GACGAACGCUGGCGGCGUGCUUAACACAUGCAAGUCGAACGGAAAGGCCCUGCUUUUGUGGGGUGCUCGAGUGGCGAACGGGUGAGUAACACGUGAGUAACCUGCCCUUGACUUUGGGAUAACUUCAGGAAACUGGGCUAAUACCGGAUAGGAGCUCCUGCCGCAUGGUGGGGGUUGGAAAGUUUCGGCGGUUGGGGAUGGACUCGCGGCUUAUCAGCUUGUUGGUGGGGUAGUGGCUUACCAAGGCUUUGACGGGUAGCCGGCCUGAGAGGGUGACCGGCCACAUUGGGACUGAGAUACGGCCCAGACUCCUACGGGAGGCAGCAGUGGGGAAUAUUGCACAAUGGGCGGAAGCCUGAUGCAGCAACGCCGCAUGCGGGAUGACGGCCUUCGGGUUGUAAACCGCUUUCGCCUGUGAUGAAGCGUGAGUGACGGUAAUGGGUAAAGAAGCACCGGCUAACUACGUG
rnacentral:rRNA from 1 species